AGAGAGAGAGAGAGAGAGAGAGAAAUCUGGAGUGCCAUCACCGACUUCCCUUUCUCAUUCAUUCCUCGUCUCGCCGGCGUUAGUGGUAGUUGUUGCCACCUUGCCAGCAGGUUCUUCAUCGUUUCUGUCUCUGGUGGGCUUCGUCGCUCCUUGUGCUGGCUUGCCAUUCUUGUGUGGGUUUGAGUAGUGGGUGGAAUGAGAGCUGAAUCGCUGAUCUAAGGUUCUGUCUCCUUCGUUGCCUCUGCUAUUAUUGGUGAUUGAGGUGAGAAUCUUAAGGAUUCCUUCUUGGUGAACCUGUGCGAGAGAGAGAGAGUUGAUUGAUGACUGAAAUUAUAAAAUUUGUGUGUGUGUUUUGUUGCUGUCCAUGACCGAAGGAAAAAAAAAAAGAAAUAAAAUAAAUAUGCAUUAGUAUCAAAAAAUGAUGGUGAUACAUAUGGGUCAUAAUUUUAGAGUUAAAUUAAUUUUGUUGAUUUGGUUGAUGUUAAAAAAUUUAUUAAGGUGAAAUCGAAAGAGACAAGCUUAGAUAUAUUGUUGGUGUCUAUGAGAUGCCAUUGAAGGGCUUGUAUGAGUAAAUAAAAUUUAACUUUUAAAUAGUGAUGGAAAUUAUUAGUUUAGGAAUUCACCUGUAGAUCUAUAAAAGAAUUUAAUUAUGGGCUUGCAUGCAGUUAUUUAUAUAUUUGGAGUUUGUUUGAUUUUUGAUAAAUUGUUGAAGGUUUUAAAUUGAAGAAGUAGAAGUAAUGCACCUAAGGUAAGUGGUGCAAAGAUUGGGAGAAAACUUCUAUUUUAAGAAAAUAGAAUGGCAUGGCUAAAGUUUUAUGAAGGAAGUUAGAGAAAUGAAUGAUAAUGCUUGAACUAACUUUAAAUUAUAAAUUUGGUUUUGAAUUUUAGAUGGUGGUUGAUAGAGAUUGUGUUAUAAAUUAAAAAGUUAUUAAAAUUGUAUAUAUUUAUAUUUUAUAGGGUGUGUGGAAAAACAAGACUCUGACAAUAAUUAAAAGAAAAAUACUUUCGAGAAUUUAAAACUCCAACGUGUAAGUGAAUAGCAUUCCCUUUAAUUUAUUUUUAUUAGUAUUUUUAUUUUAAUAGAUUUUCAUUGAGAUAUUUUAUUCUUGUGAGUUACAUUAGUUUUGAAACUUUGAAAUAUCAAUGCAGGAUGGUUAAAGGAUGAUAUAUGCAUUUAUUUCCUUAAGGAAUAUGUUUCAAAGAUUUAUGAAAUUAGUUGGUUUAUUAAACUCUUGAAAUCCUUGAUUGUUUAGAUAAUGCAAGCUUGUAUAUUAUUUUAUGAAAGACUAUUUUUAACAAGUUUUAAAUUGAAAUUUAAAAUGAUUCAUGCGAGUUUGGUAUUGAAAACGCAGAUUGUAUUUCAGAAAUAGUUAUUCUUCUUGCAUGUUUGAAACGUGAUUUUUGAGAGGACUCUAAACAGAACACUGCUGCUAACGGCAGUUCCGUUUGCCUGUAGCGCACUGUGGUUAAACACUAGUUAGUUUGGUUCGUGAGUUGUGUUCUCACGUUUGGUAUUCGUGGGCUUUGUACCCACAUUUGAUUUCGUGGCCUGAGCCGUGUUUGGUUAUUUACCUUCGUGGACUGUGUGUCCACGUUUGUUUCGUAGCUUCAGCUGCGUUUGGUUACUUACCCUUAUAGACUAGGUGUCCAUGUUUGUUUUUAUGGUAUAAGCUGCGCUUGGUUAUUUACUUUCGUGGACUGUGUGUCCACGUUUGUAAUCUGUUCUGUUGAGUUCUCAAAAUUUUAAAUGUUGAUUAAUGUGUUUUUGAAUUUUACAUGAUUUUCGCUAGCAAUUUUACCACUUUGAGUUAUAUGUGAGUAAAUCAUUUUCUUUAAGCAUGAUAACAUAAAUUAUUUUUAACUUACUUAUAUUUUACAAUUAUGGUUAUGACUUACAAGUUUAUAUAUUUUUUUGGAAUUAUUUUUAAUUAGUUGAAACCAUUAUUAGAGUUUGUUGAUUUAAAUUUUAAGAAUUUUACCAUGGGAAUGCUAUUUACUGGAAAACUUAUUUUGGUCUCAGAUUUGUUAGUUGACGUUGAUCCCCCUUGACCUUUGAAGGGCAAAUUAGCUACAGUGGGUGAAAAUUUUUGAGUGGUAUUGUUACUUUUAAUGUAAAUAUAUAAAUUGUAUGUCUUUUUGGUUUAAAAGAAAGAGUAGAUGCUCCACAUAGAUUGUUGAUAGACUUUAUUUUGGUUUGUACAUUGGUUGCUAGCUGAAAGGAGCUAUGCUCCUGAUUUAUACCAUUAUUUGUAAAAAUUUCU